UUUCCAGGCUAUAUAAAGUCUCUGGUGCAAGCAGGGCUGACCUUGGCCCAUUGGCUGCGACUGCUGCUUCCAGGACCAUGACCAGAAGGAAGUCACUUCGGCUGUUUGGCAGCUGCUGAGUUAAUCCUUCGGUGCCUCCCAGUUCGUUCCUCCCUGCCUGGCAUACAAUGAUUCAGAAGCAAACAUCUUGCUCUCCGGGUUGCGCUUCCUUGCCAGGAGGCCUCUGGCUCCCCUUGUGGACUGGAACUUCUUCCACAUACCCUCCAUUCUUCACAACCCCGUGAGGCCAAGUGUGAGGACAGGAAUGGCUCAAGAGCACCUGGAAAUUUGCAGCUGGGAGAAAUCUUGGAUUCCAGGGACCUCAUCACAGCUGCACAUCCUUCUCUCAAGACAGACUGAGGGGCUGUCAUGCUCCAAAGGGUGCCAGGGACAGACCAGUGUUCUGGUGAGGUUGGUCACAAACCAGCUGCUUCAUCUCUUCCUUCUUGCAGCCCAACCUAAAGGAUUUGCUGGGUAAGCGACGUUACACAAGAGAUGAGAAACAGUAAGUCAAAGAAACUGAAGGCAGGAGAUGGGAAAAAGAAAAGGACAUGUAACUGACUCUACUUCACAAUGACUUUAUUCACUAAGCUGCUCUACAGUUUUCUGUCCUCACAAGCCAUCCUUCUUUCCACCACAUCAAUACACCACAUCGAUACGCAUCGGGCUCAGCCUUUUGUUUCCAAAGUCCUUGCCUCACUCCUACAGGGUUGUGGAGUUGGAAGAUACCACCCAGGAUCAUCUGGUCCUGCCCUCUGCAACGGGCCCUUUACUUUUUGCGUCCCCCCCCCCGUUUUGCCUCAUGCCCUUCAAAGUAUCCCAUUCCCACCACAUUCCAGUGACCUUUUCCAUUCCUCCCAACAGACCCAACACAGACUUCCUCAGCAAGGUCCAGCAUUAGUUUGCCCACUUUUAUUUCCAGAUGCUUUGCUUGUGGGACUUUCUGGGACUAGAAAGUCUUUGUGGGUUCUGCAAGGGGUGAAAUCUGUGGGAUCCCUGGGACCCUGCUAGAAAAGGUCACAAAGGAGUGGUUUGCCAGCGCUUAGAAAGGAGCAAGGUGAUUGCUAGAAACCAGCAUUGGUUUGCCAAAAACAGGUUGGGUCAGGCAAGCCUUGCUGCCUUUUCCAGCCAAGUGACUAGAUGGGAACACCAAGGGAACGUUCUGGGCGCAGUGUGCCUGGACUUCAGUGAGCUGUUUGCUAAAAUGGAACAACGUGAGAACUCCCUUCUCAGCUGUUCCAUCCUUAUCAGUCUGUGGGAGGGAGGGGAAAUCAAAGUCAGAAGGGAGUUAAUUGUCCUUUUUCAAAGGAACCCAACCCCCCCAUCACUUCCACACACCCCACCCCCACCCUUCCUUACCCCUUCCUGGAAAGGAGGUGCUGACGGGGUUGAGAUUCCCAAAGGUUCAAGGAGCCCUGCCUCAGGGGAAGCCUGCUGACCAGUGUCUGCAGGUGGGGCAGGCCCUGCCUUGGCCCCUGCCAGUUCCUCUUCCUUGUCUGUGCCCAACCCACUCACAUCAGCUCUGGGAAGGGACUGGGGUUGGUGGAAACCUCCUGCAUCCUCUGGAGAGCAGUUAAAGGAACUGGGUCUGCUGAGCCUAAAGAAGAGAAGGUGAAGGGGAGAUGGGAGCAUUGGAAGAUCGCUCCUGUCUCCUCUCCGCUUCCCCAGAGAAGAGGGAUUUAUUCUCCAUCAUGCCUAAAGGUCAGAGGAGAAGCAAUGGAUGGAAGCUCUACAGAGAGAGACUCAAACCCAACAGACGGAGGA